GUUAUUAAUGGUAAAAUCUAGGGAUUACAUGGUAAAUUUCCCUUCAAUUUAUAUAUUAUGCUUGUUUAAAAUAAUUUUGCUCAGAUUAUUAUAAUUAGUUUUUAGAAUUAACUUUAUUUAUAGAUUUCUUUUAUGAUUUAUUUCAUAAAAUUAAUGUGUGAAAUAAAUAGUAGAAUUAUUUUUAUUUAAUUAUUUUCAAAUUUAAAAUUUUU
rnacentral:misc_RNA from 1 species